rnacentral:lncRNA from 1 species
CUACACUAACUAUAAUCUAUCUUGCUGUAAGUUUUAUCAAAUAUAUUUUUCUUCUAUAUCAUCAUUAAAAAGUAUAAUAAAUUAUUGAUUGGUUUCCCAAAACUUUUAGAUGCUAUUUGAAAUAUGGGCUUCUUAAAACAGAAGCCAUAGUCUAUACUACAUUAUCCUAUAAUAAAAUGGCACAGAUGAGGGAAUGUGUAUGAAUGUUUUAAAUAUUUUUCCUCAUUGUUAUGGAAAUACUUGAAAUUAAUGUCAUAAGUCAUAUAUCAAAUAGCAAUGUAUAAAGAUACAAAAAUGUUUUUAAAAAGUUGAUCACAUUUCAAUGAUCUUUGAUAUCUAACACUCUAAUAUCAGAAAUAGAAAGACUUUGUAUAGUACGCACUAAUUAGAUGUCAAAUGCUAUUGCCAUGUCUGAACUAGGUCAAAUUUCAAGUAAGUCGAGUUAGGAUAAACAUAUCUGGUGCAUGUUGAGCCUCAGGAUCCUCAUGGUGUACUUGCUUCAGCCUUGCUGUACAGAGCUGCUCAGUGACUAACCAGAGACAACAUCCACAGUACAGACUGCGGACACUGUAAACUGUCAGUUAGUUUGCUAGGACUGAAGUAAUACACUGUCCAGACCAAGUGGCUUAAACAGCAGAAUUUAUUCCCCACAGUUCUGUAGGCUGCAAUCUGAGAUUAAGGUAUUAGCAAGGUCGACUCCAGAUGGGGGAAGGAUUUGUUCCAGGCUUCUUUACUUUGUAGUGUGUUCUCACAUGUCCAGAUAUCCUCUUCUCAUAAGGGCAGAGCCAUAUUGAAGAAGUGGUCACCUUAUUUUGACUUAAUUUGCCCGAUAACAUUCCUGUCUACAAAUUCAGUCACAUUCUGAGUUAAUGAGGGUUAGGACUCCAAUGUAUGAAUUUCUUAAGGGAGAACAACUUAGACUGUAACAAUUGCCCUUUAAAUUUGAAUGAUUCUAAUAGUUCUAAAAUUAUACUCAUAAUAUCCCUCAGAAAAUACAGAUUUUCAGACUUGGAGAUCAAGAAGUCUAAUUUAAAUAGGAGGAAACUAUAUUCCUGAAUACUUUAGUCCACUAAACAUGAAAAAGAAAAAGUAUUUUUUUUAUGUUUUGUUUUUGAUUUCUUAUGUAACUGUGAUGAAGUUAUGCUUUGUACAAGUAACUGAUCACUAUCAUUCAGGCUAAGAUAUUUUGAGACUCACUUCAGCUUCUCAUUAACUUUCCAGAAGACAAUUCUUUAGCCACACAUUAAAAAACAAAACUGAGUCCUUGUCCAGUCCUGGCAUUUUAUAUCAGUAUUUGUAUUACCAAAGAGAAGUAUUUCUCAAGAUUGUUAUUUGAAGUCUUACUUCCUUCUUCAUAUGUGGACCACACCCUUUUCUGGUGUGCCUUUUUCCCACAAACCUUUGUAUAGAUAGUUCAACUUCUUUCUAAAGAGACAAUUUGUUUUCUAAAACUGAGCCCUAGCUUAGUGCAUUCAGCUAGGCCACACUACUCUUUUUUAAUGAUUUCCAAUCACUUCACACAUACCCUGGGUACCUUCCUGUGUAGCUUCUGGUCUUCCUCACCAUACCCCAUUUCAUCAACACAGCUGGCGAUUUUGCAUUCGUUUAAUGAGUCAUCUCACACAGUAAAGAGAUGGCCUUUUAUUACUGUAUGAGAUAAUACAUUGAUUAGUUCCUAUGAUCUUUAUUUCUCCUGUUAUAUCAUCAUGAAUUUUGUCAUUAUCUGAAAUAGUAUCACUUUUCUUUUUUUAAAAAUAAAGUAUCCCAGUUCUAGUAAUUAGUAUAUUUCAUCAAAUUUAUUUGCUUCUGUAAUUCCACUACAUAUUCACUGACCAUAAAGUUCAUUCAGCCUUUCUCUAGAUUUGUAUUAACUUUUAGCUUUAUGGUGGAUAAUUUUGUAUCUACUUGACCAAGGGAUACCAGAGAGCUGAUAAAAAUAUUUUUUGUGGGUGUAUCUGUGAUGGUGAUCCUGGAAGAGAUUAGAUUUUAAAUCAAUAGAUUAAAAAAUAAGACAUAUCGUGACCAGUCAUGUUGGACACUAUUCAGUUCAUUGAAGACCCGGGAGGAGCAACCAGUGGAGGAGGGAGGAUGUGCUUGAGCUGGGACAUCCAUCUUGCAUUGCCCUCAGACAUUGGUGCCUCCAGUGCUCGGGCCAUUUGGACAGCAUCUGGGACUUAAGCCAUCAAAGUGAACCUCCAUUCCUCUGGUUAGCAUGUACUCUGGGUUACACCUUUGGCUUUCUGGGUUCUCCAGCUUGCAGAUGGCAGAUCAAGAGCCAUCUUGGCUUCCAUAAUUUGGUCAGCAAAUUCCUGUCAGUUCCAAUCAGUCUCACUGUCUCUGUCACACAUAUCUAUAUCUAUCAAUAUCUAUCAAUUUAUACAUAUAUAUGUAUAUAUUUCCUCAUAUAUGUGUCUGUAUAAUAAUUUCUCUGAAGACUUUUUCCAUUUUCUACAGCUUUGAUAAUGUCCAUAUCUAUGCCUGUAUAUCUCAUAUCAGUUUAUAGUCUUUCAAGAGAACCCUGAUACAGCUCCCUUUUCCAUUCAUCCUUUAGCCGUACCUGGUAGGCAAAAUGCCAGCAGUGACAAAGAGAUGCCCACCAAGUCCAUUCUAUUGUCCCCUCACCUAGACUCCCAAGAGGAACAAGUAAAAUUAAAUUUUUCCCAUCUUAAAAGCAAAUGUCUCCCUGGAUCUUAUAGAUGUCAUUACAGUUGUCUUAUUCCCUUCAAAUUUGGGUUCUGUCUUAUUCCCUUCAAGCUCUGAUUUUUCCCACACCCCAUAUCAUUUAAGUUUGUUAAAGGAAUUAAUGGCCUCUGUGAGUGAAUACCUUCUUAGUUGUUUUGAAUCCAUUAAAAGUUCUGAAAUCACAUACAUGUGAAAAAUUUGUAAAUGACAUACCUGAUAGUUGUUUUUAAAGUAUAGGAUAUUUAAGAAGGUACUAGUUCUAGACAAAGUAUGUUUAGUCACUACACAUUUAAUGCUGAUUAAAAAUUUUUGUAUUCAUAAUAAAAUGAGCAGUGCUGUUGCUUUUCCUUUCUAUUUGUAAUCUUGUAUUUUCUUCUUUGAGAAAAUGAUUUGUCAUCUAUUUAUAAUUUUAUAACAUAUGGUAUAUCUAACUAUUACUUUUGUUUUCUGGUUUUAGUGUUUUGUACUGGUUAAAAUAUACUCUUUUUAUCAGAUGCAGCCAUCCUUUGCUUCUAGAAUUUAGGGAAGUAAAAAUAAUGGGCUCUCUUUGAGGAACACACCAAGCUACUAGAAAACAGAGCAUCCCGCCUGACCUCUGUGGGACCUUCUGUGGAGUUAGCAAGUGCUGGUGAGUGUGGCCUCCAUAGGUGAUUUGGGGCUGGAAUGAGAUCAGACCUGGCUCUCACUUUGAUUUACCUAUCCCAUGCGGUGGCUGGAGCUACUUUGGGCUUUUAGACUUGCAGCCUAUUCUAUAAAGGUACCAGAAUAUCCAGUAACCAUAUGUAUGGUGUUUACCUUUGUUUGAGAGCCACGGAAAAUAUAGAAUUCAUUUUUAAAAAUAAUGCAGUUAGGUCAGAAAUCAAGGAAAAUAAAUUCUCUGAAGACUUUUUUCUUUAAAGUUUUCUACAGCUUUGAUAAGAUUAUUGUGGAAUUAUAAGAAAGACUGGUAUUUUAGACCUAUAUUUCAGGGAACUGAGACAUGUCACAGAACUGAUUCUUAUCUGCAGCCAAGUCAUUUAUGUAGUUUCAAAAAAACCACACUAUACCCUUUGAUCUUGUAUAUCAACUGGAAGACAAACCAGACUUUGUAUCUGCUCAGAGAAGAUGCUAUACUGAUUGAAGGUGAUGGCCAAGCAUAGGUGAGGAGAGGAGUGCUGGACCACUCUGGCUUAUGUUUCCCUUUAAAAUAUGCCCUUUUUCCUUGUUUCACCCAGUGACUUGGAAUUCCUCUUCUCUCAUUUUGGCCAUUAGCUUUUCAAAACAGAUAAUCAUUCUGUUAGCAUUUUGAAACUUCAGAUGCAAUGAUCUUAAAAUGAGAGUUAACCCUGUUUAUACUACUUUUGCCCUCAGUUAAAGACUUUCUGACUUUUAAAAAAUUGUUUUAAUUAGUCAGUUGCUCUCAUUGUAGUUACAAUUAUCUUUAUUACUGUCAUUACCCAUCUAAGUGCCUCCUUUGACGUUUAUAGGGUUAACUGGUUUUCUCAUUUCAAAAGUCACAAAUUAUAAAAAGUAGCUAUAUUCUCUUAUGGUUAUAAAUAAAUGAGUAGGUAUAUAAGUAAAUAAUUAAAAUGUGUCCUCUAGUACUUGAAUUUGCCACCAGUUUCAUUUCACUGAUUUUAGCCUUACCACAUAUUUUGCAGAUUUUUAAUUUUGUUUGCUGCACAGGGUGCUCUAGUGACUAAUCUGGAAAAUGAUUUCAAGAAAUGAAUAAUCAUCAUAGCAUUUACAAAUGCUAGCUACAGAGCCAUUCUUUCAAUUCUAGGAGAGGGCAGAUGGUAAGGCAAGAAAGUGGUCUCUGUGUAGAUAGCCUUAAAAAUGUACAAUUGAGAAAUUAAAUGACUCCAGGAAAUAGAACACUGAGGAAAUAUUUUUUAAAAGUAACACCUACUCAAUUAGAGAGUAACAAAUGAUUUCCAGUUGCUAUUGAUGGAGAAAUGGACAUUUAUUGAAUAUUUUCUGACUUGAUCCACAAACAUAAAAGGAAGUAGUCCCUAGUAGUUAUUCAAACAUUUUCUUAGUCUUAACAUUUCUGAGAUUUAUGUAUAUAAAAAGGAUGAGUCAGAGCUGAGAAGCUCAAAUUGCAACUCUCAAAAUUGCUGAGAAGAAAUAGCACCAUGUUUUGAAAAAUUAUUGCUCCAUAGUUAAAUAAUUGUAGACUGCUACCAUCUAGGGUAAGUUAGAAAGUUAUAGAAAAUCUGCAUUGAAUGGUGAAAAGUAUCAAUGGAGAUUUAGUGAUUCAAUAUGUAGAAAUCAAGAAUUAGAAUGAAUUUCUCUUUUGGCUCAAUGGUGUCACUAAGAAUCUCCAGCCUUGUUCUAAGGCUUAUUAUCCUAAAGCUAUCUCCCUUUCUUUGUUGCUAGAUGGCUGCCAGUUACUAAAAGGGCCACAUGGCUCUGGCCACAUCUUGGGAGAGAAAGAACAGAUUGUACAGCUCAAAAACUGAGGAGUUUAUUAUUUAAAAACUUCUAGUAAAUGCCUUCUCCAGUCCCAGUGGGCAUAACCUGUCAUAUUGGCUCUUUAAGCAAUUAAUUUCCAAAUACACUGAAUCCAUAGGCAAUAAAUGGAUGUCCAUCCUAUAUGUAUUUUUUCAAAACUUGUUCUCCUGAAUAUUCUGCUAAAUAGGAGAAUCACAAUUUGUGAAAUUAACCUUAGAUUCAUUAAUGUAAUUAUUGUCAUAUCAUUGUUACCUACAAUUGGUUCAAAAUUUGUCAUGUGACCUAAUUGUGGAAAAAUGAGAGGUUGGUGAAAGGUUCUAAGAAGCUUCUUCCUUGCUCUUAAAAGACAGGACAUGUACUCUCUUCACUGGUAUGCUUCCUUCUAUUUUUGUCAGUUUUCUCCUCAUAGUUAUCUUCUGAUUAUGAGUAAAAUGAAACUGAGAAAAUUCUCAGACUACUCUCAGACUCUCCCAACUACUUCUGAAUUUCCAGUUACAUGAAAAUAAAGUUCCUUAGUCUUUAAACCAGAAAUUAGGUUUUCUGAUGCUUUUACAGUAAUAUUAUAGUAGGAAUGCAGUUUUUCACCCAAAAUAUCAGCUAUCAGGAAAAUAGAAAGUUGGGAAAGUACUAUAAUGUUUACAGUCUAAGAUACAAUCUGAUAUGCAAAAUCUAUACUAUUAAGAUGUAGUGUCUGCGGUGUCGUCUAUGUUAUAAAGAACAUAACCACUUUUUAGCCUACACUGUCUUUCAGAUAUGAUCCUCCAAAACGUGGAGAUACAUAAAAUCUGUCUAUUUAUGAAGUUAAAACAGAAUCACCUCUUAAUUAUAAGCUAAUAAAGACAAGCAGAAUAGCAUGUAUCCUCACUUUUCAAACUAAUCAAAUACAGUUUUAUUUUGGUUUAACUAGUGUUCAGUGUUUUGUGAACAAAGGGUUCCACAUGUUUUAUGAUCUUAAAACCAAACAAUGAAGAUAUGUUUAAGCUUUAUUAGGAAUUCUACUAAGUUUCUAAUUUGCUCAGUCUCAGUAAGGCAGGCGCACAAUGAAGGACACUAUCAUCAUGAACUAUGAUAGUUCUACCUUUUCUUCCCUUCUUUUCAGAUCUUUUCCCUUUAGAUACAGCAGUGUAUUGUAUCCAUGGAUCUCCCAUCAGAGAAAUGUUAAGGAAAUAUGAAUAAAGAUUACAGACAGUAUUUAAUGCAUGAUCAAACUAUAUAAUAAAUUAUAUUUGCUUUUAAAUGUCAAUAAGAACUUCAAAGCACAAUUUACCUAGGAUAAUUAAGAAUUGAUUUCAGUCCCCCGUGAGAAAGUAAAGAAAGUCAUACUGGGAGAUGCCUCAAUGGAUUUUAUUCUUUCUAGCCCAUGUAAAGAAUCGUAUACAGCAGAAAGAGAAUAUUGAAAGACAAUUGCUAUAUUAAAUUAGAGUUUGACAUAGCCAGAAAAGAAAAUUCUAGGUAUAGCCAGAAAAAGAUUAAAUGCUUUAGGGAAAGAAAAUUCAAAGACAGUUUAUUCUGCAAUAUUAUAUUUUUGUGGUUAAGAAUGUUCAAUUGGUGAAAGUUGUUUCUAUGGGAAAAUAAAUGGUUUAGAAGCAAGACAGAUGAGUUUCCUCACUUUUUUUCAUUGAAAACAUUUACCAUCCAAAUAUUUUUUUCAUUGAAACUUCAGAAACAGUUAUUAAUAGCAUUCAGUGUAUAUGCACAAAACUUAGUAAAUUUAACCUUUCGUGACAUAUGAAGACCUUCUCAUCACUUUUGGUUUUUCCAUUAAUUAAAAUGUCUUAAACAUUGCAAAGAACUAUACAAACCAUUAUGAAAAUCAAAAUAGAAACUCACUCAAUAAGCAGAUUAGUCUCUUAAGGAAUGCAUUUUCCUGAGACUGGAUUGCUAGAUUUUGAUAAAGAUUUAAAGGUAACCCAGAAUGGGCUAUGAAACAUGAAUAAUGUCUCUGAAUCCUUGUUUAUUUCCUUUAGUGACAAAGAUCAUUUUAGGAAGAAAGAUUAAAGAUUCAGAUGAGCCCAUAGCUGAAAACUCUAAAUGGGAAUCUAGCUAAACAAAGAUAAAAAACUUCAAAAAUAAAAUUUUAACAGGGCCAGGGAUUUAGCUCUGGUUCUGCCUCCUGCCUUGCAAGCACAAGGACCCGAGUUCGAUCCCCAGUACCAAAUAAAUAAAUAAAUAAAAUAAAAUUUUAACGAUGAUAUUGAUUUGACAAAACUACACUGCCUGGGAAGGGGGAAUGGAGUAGGAUUGUUUCAUGAAAAAAAAGUGUGAGCAAGAUAAGGAGAGUGGAGAGAAGAGGAGAAAAAUAAUAUGUGAACUUACAGUAAAAGAUUAAUAGAAAAUUGGAAUUCAUUGCCAACAGAAAGGUGUCAGAGAUAGUAAGCAUGAUAUUUAUGCAAGGCUUACAAAAAUGGCAAAGACAAUGUAAGCAGUUCUUUCUGUAUUCAUAUCAAAAGAAUAAUGCAGGCUCGGGGAUUUAGCUCAGUGGUUUCGCUACCUGCUGCGCAAGCGCUAGGACCUGAGUUCAAUUCCCGGUACCAAAAAAAAAAGGAAAAGAAUAAUGCAUAGGACAAAUGGUGUGAUGUUAACAAAUUAUGGCAGCAAGUACAGCUGAAAUCAUGCUUUUCUUCUUGUCUUAAAAAUGGUGAGGUGCAGCCCGUAGAGAGAACGUGGUUUAGAGGAAUUUUAACUUAAGUGAGUAAUAAUGAGAGACCACUUAGCUACUUUAGCACAUAGGCUCAGGCAGUGAAUUACAGAAAAUGGGUGAUGUUUAAGAUAUCAAACUCAAGAAGAAUGUACACAUUGUAGAUGAUCCCGAUGGACAUAGUUUUUAAAGUAAAGAAGUUGUAUACUUAGAAGAUAUUCCAUGUGGGUCUCAUGAUUUUGAUAAAUAAGUAGAUGGUUUUUAAGUAGGAAGUCUUCAGAAGUGUUGGUAUUUCUAGGAACCAAAUGUUUUCCACUAAGAGCAUGCUAUAAAAAAUCAAAUUAUUUUCUUUGUGGAUAUUCAGUGAAUGCUUGUUAUAAUUAAUCAUGACCAGUGACAGAUUUUUGGGAAAAUGUCUGAAAAUAUUUAUGUGAACAAGUUAGAGAGAAAAAAAACUGUAGAAUUAAAUGGAGUACAACUGCCUAGAUGUGCAUACUUAACGAUUACUUCCUAGUGGUUAGAUAUUAGCUAGAAUUGAGUUUUAUGAUUGACAUCACAGAAAGACCCUCUUCUUUUCAAUGUUUAUCAAUGACUUUGGUUGAGAAAAAAGUGGGGGACUUGCCUGAUUAUCAAAUUUAAAGAUAAUAUGAAGGUGGGAGGAAUAGUUAAUAGAAUUCCUAUUCAAGUAGAUCUCAAUGGGAUAAUAGACCAAAACAAAGAAAGUAAAACUUAAUAGGGAUUCAUAAAUUCUUUCGUCUAUUCAGUGUUCAUGUAUUAGGCAACUUUUAUAUGCAAAGCACAUUGUUGCUACAGAAGCACAGGUGAAUAAGACAUGUAUCUGCUUUAGAAGUUUGGAAGAGAAGACAUUUUAACAAAUAAUUGCAAUUAAAGGUAAGAUCUACUAUACUACAACCUAUUCAAGUAAUUAUGGAAGCUCAGGUUUGUGAAUAAAUAAUCAUUGAAUGUAAAGUAUUGGAUAUAGGUUUUCAGAUGACUUAUAAAAUAGUAGACAUAGCUUAGUUUAAUAUUAUGAGGGAAAAUUUGUCUAGUAUAAUGUGAAUGCCUUAAAAUAGAAGCACACUAAAAUUAUAAUAUUUAAGGGAAGUAAAUAUGUAUUGUUGUAUCCAGUUCUGAGCACACUUUUCAAAAGAAUAUGAUUAGAAGUGAAAGAAAACAGAUGCACAAAGAGAUGUAGAUCCAAGAGGGGAUGAUAACUAAAUUCUAGUUUUGAAGAAGAAAAAGCUUAACAAUUGAGUGAAUUAUGGCUGUACAUUUUUAUAACACUUUUUACUCAUACUUGGUCUUUUAAAAAGUGCUACAUUAAAGAUGUUUAUAAUAUUAUUAUAUAAUAUCCACUGAUUUAUAAAUUACCUUAUUUUAUAUCCUCUUGCUGCUAUUUGUGCAUAUAUGGGUAUGUUUGUGCAUGUAUGAAUUUCAGAGUAAAAUUUACAACCAUGAUAAAGGAGCAAACUUAAUGGUUAUUAAGUGAUAGAUGUGGUAUUCCUUUCUGUAAGGAAUAUUUUCUUGUAUGUCUUCAGUACAUUUCAUUAAAAAUAUUGUGUUAGAGGUAUACUUAAUUCAUGUCCUUCCUGUUUGAGGGAUUUUCAUUUGAAAUUGCCUCUCAACCGAUUGAAUUAAACUCUGUCCAGAAUUUAUGAACCAGCCUAGUACUUAAUUUCGUUUUUGAAAUAUAUUUUUCUCUUUCAGUUUUAUGGUGGUUUUAUUCCAAUGCUGGGAGUGUUGAAUUUCACAAAAUUCAUUUCGCGUAAGAUUCAACACAUACUGUACAUUGAAAUUUAAUGCAAGUAUUUUGGGCUUGGCAUGGUGUACAUUUAUUUUAAUCAGUGGCCAGUUAGCUCAGUUGGCUUCCCAUGUUGUUGAUGUAGUACAGGUCAUGGGUUUCAUCCCGGUGCAGGCCAGCAAGCUUCUCUUUGUUAUGUGGCACAAGCUUCGUCCUUCACCCCAGCCAGCUGGCUGGCAAAUGUGUGCAGUUGGUGACAAGGAGAACUGGGUGAGACUGUGUAGAUGGAUUGGUGGAAAUUCAUCACCAUAACUAGGAAAAUAACCCUGAGCAAAUGCCUUUCUAAUGGACAACACAUGGUUGUUUAUAUUCAAUUGAAUUGUAGAUACGUAGUUUGUCAUUAAUCUUGCUUCUAGAAAAUACUACCUUAUUGAAUAGAUAAAAUGCCUUGCUCCUUUAAAUUUUGUUUUCUAAAAUUUUGUAAGUAUAUUUGACAAAUAUUUCACACUGUGUUCUUAUAUAAUCUAAUUCUUUUUACUUAAAUAUUCUUAGCUUUUUAGGACAUUGUAGAUUUGCAACAGUCUCAUUUAGUUUUUGAGAAUGGCAAUAGGCAAAAAUCACAUGAGCAGUGAUGAUUUUGAUGAGAAUAAAUCAGUCUCUGCUGAAUAUUAAUCAUGAAAAAAAUGUUAAAUCAAGCACAUAAUCUUUGGCUGGUGCCAUUCAGACAUCUCUUCCUCUGCAUUUAUUAGUAUGAUUUGGGUAAAAGAGUAAAUUUUGUAUUUUCUUGAUAUUUGGAAGUCUGUUUGCUUUAACCAGCGCAAAUUAAAUUAAGCUAGUCACUACUUUCAAAAAGGGCACUUAAUAAUGUUGAGUAAGCUUUCAAACUCAGUUUACUUCAGCAUAUGCUAAUUAUUUCCAUCUAAUCAUGCUGUAUCAUGUAAUUAAUAGGAACAUAACUAGGAUUCGCUUUUAAUCUUUUUCUUUCUACAUGUUCUCACACAAAUAGCAUUACUUAUAUUUCAAAUUUCAGACAAACCAAGUCUAACUUUUCUUUUAAGUACCAGGCAGGAUGCAUUUCAUUUGGUCAUCUCAGACAUUUCGUUAAGAGGCAACCUUAGCGUAAUUGUAUGCAUUGUAUUUUAAAAAUGGCAAGUUUAAUUUAAUACAACAGAAACCUAUUUUAUUCUUUCAGCCUAAUUAAUCAGAACAUAUCAAAAUAUUAGUUUUAGAACAAGUAGAUUAUAGAAUGUACACAGUGAAUUCCUUUGAACUCAGAAUGGCUUUUUUGAACCUAUUCAGAGUUUUGACUCUUAUACCUAAUGUAAAAUAUAAAUGUUAAAACUGCAGUUCCAAUAUUGGUAAGGAAGCCCGAGAGCCAUGGAAUAUAUAAUUAGCUGGGCUUUUCAGGAAUUAAAGCUCUGCAGUCUUUGUCAUAUAAUUUUUUACAUUGAAAUAACUUCUGUGUUUGGAGAUUAAUGUCUUUAGAUCACUAAAAGAUCACUGUCAGACCACUAGGGUCUAGCAGUGGCCCUUUACUGAUAUUUAUAAGGUUGUUUCAAUCUAAUUUUUAAAAUAAGCUAUAGGGCAAUACAAUCGAUAGCAGCUGUAAUGUCAGUUUCCUUUUUUUAAUGUAGUUUUAGAAUGUCCCUAUAGAAAGUGUUUAGUACUUCUCAUACCUUACUGCAAAAUAAAAUUUACCUUUAUCCUCUAUAAUUAAUUGACAGGCUAUGCAAAAAGGGGGGGUGUGAAAGAGAUAUUUAUUUAAUUCUUCAGGUAUUUAUCUGGAAACUUAGGAAUGUGCUACUAAUCAUUUUUCCCAAAAUUCCUAUUUUUAUGAGCUUUAGGGUUUUUACAGUCAAUAUGAAUUUUUCUGUCAGAGUGCAGACCCAUUGACAAUACAAUCAUUUAAAAAUCUAAUUACUUUCACCUGUUUAAAUAAGUGAAAUUCAUGCUGGAAAAUGUGUGCGAACUGCAGUGGGAAGUAGUUGAACUCCUGUUCAGGGAAGGCUUUCCAAGCAUCUCUUUUGUCCCUUGAGGUGUUUAUGUCCUUUUAGAAGUCUGUAUGGAUUUAGUCUAGAGCCACAGAUUUAUGACUAAGUGAUUGUGUGAUCGAAGCUACUAAACAGUAAUAAGGAUUGGUAAUAACUGAAGUUUAUUUUAAAAGCUUCAUUUCUAAUCUCAUUAGAGUACCUAUGGGUACAAAUAUUAUUUUUCCCUUGUGUGUUCUAAGCAUAGAGUAAAUGAUGGAUCAUAAUCAAUGUACCAAAAAGACACAUUUGUCUUUGUUUUUAUUGUAGAUGCAUAGUGAGUUCAUCCAAACCUCUCAAAUAUGAAUACUUUCUUUUCCUUUUGUGUUUUAAUUAAAAAACCUACAUACAUCUCACAUGCACACACACACACGCACAUGCACCUGUAUAUACAUGUAGAAGAUGAAUAUUUGUCAGUAAAUUCCACUAGCUUUAAACAAAAACAAAAUAAUUCACUAGAAGUCUUCCAACACAUUUGAAACACAGUCUGUUGUUUGUUUAGGUGAGUGGAAUAUAUGUUAGGAAAUUUUUCUGCAGCAAUGGUUAUACAUUUUAAGUUGAUAGACUUUCAAGCUGUCACAUCCUUAUUUUCUUUUCCUGGCAACAAUUAUUGCGUCAUGAAGUGAAGAUAAUUGCAAUUUUGUUUUGCCUUAGAUGCCAUUUAUAAGAUAUGUUAUACAUAUUAUUACCUCUCAUUCCUAUUAGAUUAUUUUUUAGUAAAAUUAGAGUUUAGUUGAUUCAGGGGAAUUAUACUACUGCCUUUGAAAGCAUUAUUAGCAUUUUGUUAAGAUUGGACAUUAAGGAAUUCAAAUGACCAGGUCCUUUAUUACAAUGGGGGAACAAAUUCCAUUUAACUAUUUUGAUUUUUCCUUCUCUUUCAAUAUGUAAAAUGUGUGGUUUGUGCAUAGACUGACUUACAAUAUGUGUGGCUGUAUGUGUUCUUUUAUCAUAUCCAAACAAAGAAUGAAACAGAUUUCAGAAUAUAGCUCAGAAAUUUUAAAUUCAUAGGCCUUGAGGAGCCAAAGCAAGCCAGCAAAUUAAUAAAAUAGGCUUUUAGUAAUAAUUUAAGGAGUGAUAGAGAAAAGACUGUGACAAAAAAAAAGAUUGCAAAACCAUUUCUGCAUGUGCCUAAGCUUGAUUGUUUUAAAACAUCUCAUGCACUGUCCCUGUCAAGGGAAACAUUUCUGUUACUGUCUUUGGGCUAUGAGUUUGAGCCUUUGGUAGGCCCCAAUUUCUCUGCAUAUCCUCAUCGAGAAAUUCUCUACUUCAGAGAAAUCCUUGUUGUUGAGCCUCCAAUCUGCCCCUCUUGUUUUAACAAGUUUAUCAGACUUUAUCAGGUAAGUCUUAAGAAGUCACUAAGUAGUCUAAUUUCAGCACUAUAAACUACCAAAAACCAAUAGAGUCUUAAAUAUAGUGCUUUGCAGUACAUGCAAUUACAUUCUUGAACCAUCCCAAGUCUUUAGAUUGUUGGAAACCAUUUCUCCUCAGCCUUAAGUCUGGAAUUUUCUAUUCAUUUCCGUCAACUACUCUCUAAUCCUUAGUGAUAUUUUAACACUAACGUGUAGUUGAUACUUCCUUUAGUGAUAAUAUAAUUCCAUUGCACUCAAAGCAGUUUUCCUAUCUAAAAUUGUGGUAUAUCACCUUGUUCUCCUCAAGAUAAGAGCACCUCUUUGUGAAAGAUAACUGAAUAAGUACUGUAAUUCAAUUGCCAAUUCUAUAAAUACAUAUCAUAUACAUAAUUCUAUGUAUAACUAGUGAAGAUUAAAGCUUUUUGGCUGAAUUUGUAUAUUAAAAAUUAUCUGAUUCUCUUAAAAAUUAAACAGUACACAGAAAUUAGUGAAAUAGGCACAUUUGUUUGGGCCUAAGGCUAGUACUACUCCAGCUUCCCUAACUGUUAGUAAAACAUCUGUCUAAUUUUAAAAGCUGAAAGGCAUGCUAAUUAUUUUCUUUAAUUUUUAAUUAUUAUUUUUAGUUGCAGUGCUACCCUCACUAGUCUGAAUUGACUUAUGAAACCUGUUUUAUUUACAGUAUAAAUUUGUAGUUGAACUAAAUUAUACACAUUGGUUAGUACUCCAUGACAUAUAGAAUUUAAAACUAAAAUUGGAUAUUUUGUAUAGAACACUGAAAAUACCAACUAGUGACACCCUUUUAAAAUUUCCUGAUUGAUAAAAUACAUUAAUUUUAACUUUAAACAUAGAAAUUUUAUUCAUACUUAAAAUUUAUUGCCUGAGAAUGUCAAUUUGAGACUAUCUACCAUCUUAGUUAAUUUAUAAUCAAUAGGAAAAAUAACACUAUUUCCUUUCAAUACCCAAUAUUUAGGUCCAAUUUUUGGGUCCAGGCUGAUCAUAGUCAUAGUUUUAAUCUAGAAAUGUCAUUCUAAAGAAAGGUGACUUGACAGUGGUUGUAAAAUCCCUCUAUCAUUUAAAAAUAAAACUAUUCUCUAGAAAGACUCAAAUUGGAAUGAACACAGACCUUACUUAGAAGGUCUAAGGUGGCUAGUGAGAUUCUACACUCAGGCAUAGCCUAAACUGUGUAUCUUCUACCAACUUCUGUUGCCUGGAUAGCAUUGUUCCAAAAUAAAUUGUGUGCCAGUAAACAGAACUCUGUGAUAUAGCAGCUGACUGGACUGUCUUGACCAACAGUUCAGUUACCUAUUGGUGUACAACAAACUGUCCAAAAGCUUAAUAGCUUAAAACAACAACACUCAUUUUUGUUGCUUACAAGUAUGUGAUUUUUGGCAAGCCUUAGCUGAAAAACUUGUCUCUGCUUUGUGUCACUUUGGCUGGGGCUGUUAGACUAAGGCUGGAGGCUCAAGCCACUUGAGAUAACUCCCAACGCUGGCAAGUUGGUUCUGGCUGCAGAGUUGUCAGCUGGGCACUUUGAUUCCUCUGACUGUGGCCUGCUUGGGCUUCCUCAUAACUUGGCAGCAAGUGUUCUGAGGGUGUUCCCAGGAGAGUACCCCAAAGCUUUGAUCUAGCCUUGGAAAUCAGAGAAUUUCACUUCUACCACAUUUUAUUUGCCUACCAAACCAGUAAAGCCAGUCCAUUUUAAGAUGAGAAUUAGCCUCCCUCUCCUGAUGAGAGGAGUAGCCAAAAAUUUGUGCUGUCUUUCUAACAGCAAAGGGAUGAAUUUUGACAUCAGUGCCCCUUGUGCAAGUGGCAAGGUCAUUCACACACCGAGUCCUGCACAGUCCACUUAGAGCAGGGUUCCUGCUUGAAAUGCUGGCGCCAUGUUUACUGGGCCCUGGCCCUUAUUUUCUCUUUCUGCUCACAAUCAACUAGUCUUUUUUGGACACUGCCAUAAUAAAAGGGUGUGAAAACCUUAGUAAAAUAGCUUCAUGCUUCAUGUAGUGUCUUGCCUCAAAAAAUAUCAUGGAAGUUAAAAGUGAGCAGUAAACACUUUCAAUAGUUACUGUAUCAAAGACUGGCCAAAAUAGUUACCACCACACAUUAUUCAGAAAUACAGAAAAUUUACAUCCCAUCAAAACUCUAUUAACUUAUUUUCAAAACUUUGUGCACUACACUAAAUUUCAUUGUACUUUCUGUUUAUUCAUUUCUCCUAUAUUUAGAUAACAUUCAUUGAUUACUUAUUGUAUUUAUGCUUGUCAAAAAUUAUAUUCAAGGAAUUUUAUUGUACUUCUUUUAAACUCAAAAAUAUAUCUUAAUGGAAAACAUUUCAUCUAAAACUUAUAGAUGUAUCAUUCAUAAAAAGAAAUUAAAGAAAAGCUGAAUAUUCUGGUUAAGAAUCAUUAUUCUAAAUCUGGUAAUGAUAUUAAGUUUUACUUGAUUAAAAAGUAAAAUAUUGGGGAAAACUAUGUUGCUUUUUGUGUAGUUUUCAUUUUGUGCUUUAGAAAUUUGAGUAAGUUGCAUGUUAGUCUCUGACUUUUUUUUGACUACUUUUAACUUUUCUUUAUUACCUUGUACUCUUCCUGGUAUGAGAAUGUACUGACCUUUCAGAUGUCUCCUCAUUAGGUGUACUUGCAUGGUUCAUUAAAGUGUCCUUAGAUAAAGAUCACACAAAGCACCAAGGUAUGCCAUGUCCAAUCCUUCUCUGAAGCAAAGGAGUCGUACCCCAAUGGCUUUAGGGACAUUUGCCUGUCAUGCACUUGGCUUUUGUCCAAUAGGGAAAAACAAAUUACUAGAGCAUACCUGUGUUGGCUCUGUUCUUAGCCGCGUUUAUGUAAUUGAUGUCUUGUGGCUUCAUUAUGAAUCAUUAGCAUACCAACAUGUCUGAGCUUAGCAAAGUACCUCUUGUUCUUAGGCACUGACAGUUUACCAUGACAUGUAAUACCAGAGGUGGUGGACAUUGUAACUAGAUCAGUGGCGAAAUCAAGAUGGUGACAUAUGAAGCUCAGAUACACUAAAACUCAGAAUUCCUUUUUCUUUGAAAUAAUGUUUAGUCUGGAUUUGUAUUAGACUACUUUUUUGAUAAUGCAAAAUAUAUCUGCUUUGUCAACAAUAAUAAUCUGAAUAUGUGAUUCUUUUAAAUAUCUGCAAGUUAUUUCUCAUUCAAUAAUUUCAUUUUCAUUGCUUUCCUGUCUAAUUAGUGAACAUAUUUGUUUGUUCCUAUGACCAGUAAUAAUUUUGUUCAUAAUUGUUAAUCUGUUUGAUAUUUUUGUAGAUGGUUUUAUCUUUAAUGAGUGAAAUAAUUUAGUAUGAAUGGACUCUUCUUGUAUUUCUUGAGAAAAAUCCUGAGCUGUUUUAGAAAUACAAAUAUUUCUGUAAUUCUCCUGAAAUAUCCACUAAAUUACCAGUUUUUCAUGAUGCAAAACAAAGUGGUUAAGUAGACAUAUUAUUUCUUAUCUACUUAGCACUUUUAAUUUAGAUGAUACAGAUUGAGGAUGUUAUUGUAUUAUAUGUUACAAUAAAUAUACAAUAAAACUAAAUGGAAAUUAUUUUAGGAAGUAAAAGGAAUAUAUACAGAGAAAUCACAUUUGUUCUAAAGAAUAUAUGCUUUUAUAAGUGGGAAAAUAAAUCUUAUACUUAGGCUCCUAUUUAAUAUGCACAGGCUGCUACUUAAUUUUUUUAAAUUGUUCAAUUAAUAAAAAGAAAAUGAUAAAGAAAUAUGGUGUAAUUAGUGGCCCUUUUCCCCUGGAGAGUAAAUAUUUUGUCAUUUAAUUUUGUAAAUCCAGUACAUCAUGUAUCUGACAUACAUUAAAUAUUCAAUAGCAAUAGUUUAAAUUGGCAAAUAAAUAAGAAUCAUAAUUAACUUUUUUAUAUAAAGUGUUUUUAUUCAAUUAUCAAAAUAAGCAUGUUUUUAUUGUGGAACGUUAGACAAUAGUGAAAGAAGAAACAAAGUCCAUACAAGUAGAUAAUAAAAUCCUCUACUAACAUACUUGUCUAUGCAAAAACAUGUUUUCUAAGAAUCUGUAUAUUAUUUUAAAAAAUUAAAAUAUGAUGGUAAGUAUAACUGCGUGUUUUUUAAUCAUCCCAACAUAUUAAAUAUUAUAUACCUCAUUUUACUCUUAGUUCUCAGUUCAGAGAGCCUGAUAUAUAAGGAAAACAAGAACUAAGACAUAAAUGCAAGAUUUGCAUCAGAGCUAUAUGAAUCCAAAGUGUAUGUCUUUAAACACCAGUCCUCAUCAUCACUCUGUACUAAUUACUAUGAACACUGGGUAUUCACUAAGUUCUUACAGUGUAAGAAAGAAGGAAAGUCCCAAGGAGGACGUAAUUGGGAAUAUUCUUCAUAUAGAGAGUAACUAUGUAAGUUUCCAUUUAAACUUCUACAGUUGUAAAUGUAGAAAGGGUGCUGUAAUAAUUAUGCUAGGACAACGUAUAUAUACUGAGAAUUCCUUGGAAAACUAGGAAAACAAAAAGAGAGAAGAAGCAUGCAUUUUAAAAUAAAUACUGUUUACCAAGCACCAAGUAUGAUGGCUAGGUUUUCUUAUUUUAUUCCUCACAUUUGUCUUUGAGAUAUCUGUAGAUCAGUUAUCCCAAAAGAAUACGUAUGUUCUGAGAAAAUGAAUACUUGGACAACUUCUUAUAAAAUUAAUGAUUAGCCAAGCAUUAGCCAAUUCUAUCUACUUCCAAAACACAUAAUUAUUCCACUAUCAGCUGCUUAUCUGUUCCCAAAAAAUAAAUUGUUGUUUUAUAUUGUAAAAGAAAGAGUCAGAGACCUAGAUUGGACAACCAUGUGUAGCUAUGACAAUUUUAAACAUCUUUUCCAUAUUCUUUGAUGCCUCCAAGUCAAUUUUAUAUUUUUAAUUAGCAUUUAAGGAUUUAUCUGCAUACCUGUGUAGUCACGUUGGUAUGGAAUCAUAGAAUCAAAUAAAUUUUAAAAUUUUCAGUUUUAAUUGGUACAUAGUACUUGUACGUAUUUACAUGGUACACUGUGUCAUUUCAUUACAUCCAUACCAUAUGCAGUGAUCAGAUCAGAGCACUAGAGAUAUCUAUCAACUCAGAAAUUUAUCAUUUCUGUUUUGGGGAAAGUCAGAAUCCUUUCAACUGAUUUUUUUGAAAAACACAACUAAUUGCUGCAAAGCAUAGUUAUGCUAUUCUAUAUGACAUAGAAAUUAUGCCUUCAAUGUGGCUGCAAAGAUGUGCCUGUUAGCCACCCUGUCUCCAUCCCCUCUCCCCGGCACCAUUCCAGUGAUAUGGUAACUAUCAUUUUACUCUCUACUUCUAUGAGAACAACAUUUUAAUUUUCACAUAUAAGUGAGAACAUGUGGUUGUUUUAUUUUGCUUCAUGUUGUGUGCUUUAGUUCUGUGUCUGUUACCACAGUCGCAGAAUUUCAUUCUUUUUCUGUCUGAAUAAUAUUCCAUUGUGUAAAUAUAUUGCAUGUUUUUGUUCAUCUGUUAGUGGACAGUUAGGUUGAUUCUGUAUCUUGGCUGUUGUGAAUAUGGCUGCAAUAAACAUGUAAAUGUGGAUGUUUCUUUAACAUACUAAUUUCAUUUCCUUUCAAACCAUUUUUAAAUUGCAAGAAAAUCAGAGCUGCCAAACAGUAUGAAAUCCACUUGUCUAGCAACAGCUUGUGGUUAAAUGCUGACCAUAAAAAAUGGUGUAUGACAAAACAAGCAAACGCUCCAAAAGAAGUACUCUGCCAUCUCACUUAUUUUGAAAAAUGUCAAGUUGGCAACCCAGGCUUGUUUCUAAUUCUUUUCUUAUUCUGUAAUUUUUUUCUUUUUAAAAGAAAUUUACUGAUCAUUAAUUUCAAAAGACCAAUAUGCUGCAAUCAAGAUCAACCUACUUUUCUUGCCAAAAAAGUAGCCCAUCCAGAUUCUAGAUUUAUCAAAGUACCUAAAAUAUGUGUAAGAAUUUUAGCUAUUUUUUGCAUACCUCUUAUUUGUUAGACUCUGCUCUAGGUGGGUUUUCAUACAUUUUCAUACAUUGCUCAUUCAUACUUUAUAAGAUGUGUAUAAAUUUACUGGUGUUGUAUCUCUGCAUUUUGUAUUUGAAUAAACUGAAGUUCAGAAAAGUUUAAGUAGCUUUCCUAAGAGAACAUGGGCUGUAAGUAACACUAGUUCAGAAUUCAGAUUCAUAACUUCAAAUUCAUGCUGUUUUUUCUGUUGCCUCAUAGAUACUAUCUUAUCUCUCUAUCCACCAAUAUGCACAUUAUUCACAGUUCUAUUUACAUUUCUUGUACACAUUUUAGAUUUUGGCAAAAAUUUUAUAAAUGACUGUCUUUUAAUAUUUCACAAUCCUCAACAGAAUCAUUAAUCUAAAAAAGAUCAUUAUGUAUAGUAUAAACUCAUUUUGUAUUCCCAGAAAAUAUUGAUUACAAGCAUUUAAACAAUAGUAUUUACACAACAAAAGACAUAAUUAUAAGGUGAUGGAUUAUUUAUUUAAGCUUCUUAUGCUACACAAAGUUUUAAUAGAACAAAAGUAUUUAGAAAGUCUCCUGGAGUAUGUUGUAAUAUUAUUUAAUUUGUUGACAUAAUUUAAGACUCAAUAAAAUAAAACUUCAUUCAUUUUAUCCUCAGAUUUCAAGCUAAUGUGAAUGUUUUGGAAAUUACUAUUUUAUAGAUGUUCCUUUUUCUGUGUUUCUUGAGUAAAUUGCUAAAAUACUUUCAUGCUUAUUGGGUGUUCACAAUGUAAAUAAUGGUCAAAUGAAGUUUGUGAAGAACCCAAAAUGUAGUAAGAUUUGUUCUUUGAGGAAGCUCACAAUGAAAUAGAAAGGAAAAAGACAUACAUCAUACUUCUGUUUAGUGGAAUUAAAGAAUUAAGGAAUUCUAGUGGCUUUUUCUUUGGAGACUCAUUAUUUCCUACUUUGACUUGUAAUCAUUGGUGCACUGAUGUUUAUCUCCCUUAACAUACUGUAAAGUCUUGGUUGAAAAGAUCUUGACUUAUUCUUGUUUGUAAUUCCCCCUAGCACUUGAAGCAAUGCAUUACCCAGUGAGCGGCCCAUAAAUAGCUUUUCAAUGAAUAAUAUAUAAAACACUAACAAUAUAAGACUCUAUAUCUGAUCUCCCAAAUGCAUGGAAAGAGCAGCAAGUGCUGUAGAAGUUCACUGGGACUGGGUUGCUUGGGAGAGUUUCUACAGAGGAGGGAGUACUUGAGUGAAAAUAUGAGAAAGGAAGAACACAGAAAUGGUGGGGUUUCCUGGCAGGUGGAAAAGCAUGAAAGGUAUCUAUAUAAUUUAGAAAUACAGAAAUGUUUCAGCAGGUACUGAAGAUUUCGUGGAAUAGUGUGAGUCUUGUAAAUAAAUAUUGUGGAAGAUUGGAAAUAGAGUGUAGAUCUUUUUCAUAUUUUUAUUAGUAUAUGUUCACAGUACAUAAUGAUUACAUUCAUUGUGAGGAAUUGGUAAAUGUACAUGACACAUCUCAAUUCUUUUUUCUCUUUCCCUUCAACCUCCCUUUUAUUUUUCCAGCUCCACAUUCAUUUCUUCCUAAGUCCUUAUAAAGUUAAUUAUUAUACAUAUAGAUUAACAACUCAAUAGGCCCAAAACAUAUAAAACACAUAAGAUUCUUAUAUCAAGUUACAAUUUUAGAUAUGUUUUCUAUGCUGGAUUACAAUAACUUUUUUCUCUUUUUGUCUAUUUGUAUUAUACUUUAUUUAUAUACGGAGUUUCUCAUAUAUGAGAAAUCAUAGAUACUUAAGCUUGCAUGUUUGAUUUACUUAGCUUAACAUUAUGGUCUCAGGUGCAUCCAUUUUUCUGAAAUGAUUCAAGUUUACCUUUCCUUAUGUCAGAGUAGUGCUCCGUUGUAUAUAAAUGCCACAUUUUCUUUAUCAACUCAUGUAGUGAUGGACAUAGAGAAUGAUUCCAAGAUUUAGCUAUUAUGAAUUGUGGUACUAGAAGCAUGGAUAUCUAUAAAUCACUUUGGUAUGGUAUCUUUAGAAGGAGAAUAGCUGGGUCAGAUGGAAUUUCUAUUUGUAGUUUUUGGAGGAAUCUCCAUACCGAUUUCCAUAGUGGUUGUACCACUUUACGCUCCUACAAGAAGUGAAGUAGGAUUCCUUUUCCCUGCAGUGUUCUAGUAUUUGUUAUUGUUUGAUUUCUUGAUGAUAGUCAUUCUUUCUGGACUGAGAUGGAAUCUCACUGUUGUUUUAAUCUUAUUUCUUGAAUAGCUAGCAGUUUUGGACAUGACAAGGCAGAGGGGCAUUGCAGAGGAGAAACAGUUCAUUGGAGCCAGAAGACAGCAAAAGCAAGCAAGCAACGAACCACAAGUGACAAUAGCAGCUUGUUUCUGGCCCUUUUAUAUUCUAUAUAGGCUACUCAGUUUAGAGCAGGUGCCAAACCAAUCAGUGGACUAAUUUAGUAAUCUCACAGCCUUAAUCCCAGCAUCACACAUUCUAGAUCCAGCCCCCUGACAAAGCUCCACCAAUUGCAUGAGACUUGGGGGGGACAUUUAGACACAAGCCAUAACAAUUUGGUUUGGGGAGGUUUUGUCAAUAUCAUGCUGUUUUUAUCACUGUAACUGAGUAGUAUAACAUGAAGUCUGGAAUCAUGAUGCUGUCUGCCUUGCUCUUGUUCCCCAGAAUUGCUUUUGCUAUUCUUGAUCUCUUCUGGUCCCAUAAAAAUUUUAAGAUUGCUUUCUCUAGUUCUUCAAGGAAUGCUACAGUAUUGGUAUUUUGAUUGGGAUUGUGUUAAAUCUGCAUAACAUUUUUGGAAAUACGGCCAUUUUGAUUAUAUUGAUUUCUGCCUAUCUCAGAUACGCACU